rnacentral:lncRNA from 1 species
CUGACUUGACUUCAGCUCCGCCUCCAUGUAAUUUUAUAUUGCUCCUGUAAAAAUGCCCCCAUUCUCUGUGUGUCUUUCACAAGAUGCCCUUCUUUGUGUGAGUGGAAGCUGUUGUGUUUCUAGAAGCUUCUUGCUGUCAGGAGCCUGAAUGGCAGUCAAAGGAAUAUAAAAGAAAGAAAGACUAUGAAAGAAGGACAGAGUCGAAAAGGAAUUAGGAAGUGCUUUUGUGGAGUUGCUCUGAAAAUGGGUAAGGUUCUCCUGGUGUCCCUCUGCUAAGGUGGGAGGGAGCAGAAGCUGUUCUCCAUGAUGAAGACUGGAAGCACAGACCAUUGCUAUCCCUUCUUUCCCAAAGUCAUUCUUAUUCAGUGGGAUAGAGACUGUUCUUGGAGUUAAUUUGCUUAGUUAAAAUACAGUUGACAACAGAAAAUUUGUUGCAAAAAUUUAAACUUGAGUUGGGGUGUGGCUCAGCGGUAGAGCAUGUUCUGGGGAUGUAUGAAUUCAAUAUCCAGCACCACACACAACAAAAAGGUAACUGUUCCUUCUGUUCAAAUAUGUGUAUCUGUCAGGCAUAAGUGGCUUAUGCCUGCAAUCUUACCACUCAGGAAACUAAGCAGGAGGAGUGCUGUGAGUCUGAGGCCAGUCUGUGUUAGAGAGUGACAGGUAGUGUCUCUCCAUUAUGUGUUCACGUUAGAAAAAGGUGCAAGAGAAGAGUGGGCAGCUGCUAGAUGGCUAAAUGUGUAGUCGACUGGGUAAAUGCGAAUGUUCUGAUGGAUUAUUUUUUAGGCAGUUGCCUUUCCUUCAAGAUUAUUGAUAUAUGAAGAAUCAGUUAUCAUCCUAUGAACCUGGGAGGCAGCAAAUUACUAACACUUAAUUUCCACUAUAAUUUUAAGUUGGGAAUAAGUCAGACCUAUAAUCCAGUAAUGACAAGGGUGAGACAGAAGGAAUUACAGCUGGAGGUAAGCUAGGCCACAAAGUUGCAAGCCAGCCUGGGCUAUAUGGGGAGACCCUUUCUCACAUAACAAAAGGUUUUUAUUUUAAGGCAGUCUUGGUGGCACUCGCCCUUAAUUCAGAACACUAAAAAGCAGGUGGCUUUCAGGGUCAGCAUGGACUUGAUAGCAAGACCCCAUCUCAAAACAAACAAGGACACUCACACCUUGUUCUGUAAAUAGGUUUAGUCUGAAAUCUCUUCUGACCACAUUCAUACAUGUCUAAAAGGUUUUCAGUAGAGUUUUAAAGUAAGUCAGGACUAUUUGAGUUUGGGAAGGAGCUAGCUUAAGCUGUGCAUCUGGGCGCGCACCUGCACCCUAGUGUUUGGAGAACAAAGGUGAGGGGAACUCAAGGGAACAUGAGUUCUAAGCCAGCCUGGGCUACAAGAGUAAGCUACAACUCACUGCAGCAUGCUGUCAACGUGUAGACCCAUGUCUUACACUACUGUCACACUCCUUGGACUUGAGUGUUUCAGACUCCCCUCAUAGGGGUGAAUACUGAAUCAAACUGAAAGAAAACAGACACGUAGAGUUUAUCAAAAGCCAUAUUAAACCAUGAUUUAUUUCUUACUUCAUUGGUUCAAGGAGUUUUGAAAGCUAUAAAAUGUAUUUUUACCUGAUAUGGUUGCUCAAACCCAUGAUCUACCACUGGAGAGACAAGAUUGUCAUUUUGAGGCUAGCCUGGGCUACCUAGUGGUGCUUGACUCAGCAGCCUCUACCCCAAAAAGAUGCAUUUUUCAUAGUUAAACACAUUUCAGAGAAAAAGUCUUUCAAUGGAGUAGUUUUUGCUUUUUGUUGAUAUUUCUCCCUCAAUUUUAAUAUCUAAGACAAAAUUCUGACAAUACAAUACAGUCUGCAGUAGUUAGCAAAUUGGUGGUGUUUCCUACACAGUAC